GCUUUACACAUGCAAGUCGAGCGGCAGCGCGGGGGCAACCCUGGCGGCGAGCGGCGAACGGGUGAGGAAUACAUCGGAACGUGCCCGAGAGUGGGGGAUAACGCCGCGAAAGCGGCGCUAAUACCGCAUAUUCUCCGAGGAGGAAAGUGGGGGACCUGCAAGGGCCUCACGCUCACGGAGCGGCCGAUGUCGGAUUAGCUAGUUGGUGGGGUAAAGGCUUACCAAGGCGACGAUCCGUAGCUGGUCUGAGAGGAUGAUCAGCCACACUGGGACUGAGACACGGCCCAGACUCCUACGGGAGGCAGCAGUGGGGAAUUUUGGACAAUGGGGGCAACCCUGAUCCAGCCAUGCCGCGUGCGGGAAGAAGGCCUUCGGGUUGUAAACCGCUUUUAGUCGGGAAGAAAAGGCAACUCUUAAUACGGGUUGUUCUUGACGGUACCGGCGGAAUAAGCACCGGCUAACUACGUGCCAGCAGCCGCGGUAAUACGUAGGGUGCGAGCGUUAAUCGGAAUUACUGGGCGUAAAGCGUGCGCAGGCGGUUCG
rnacentral:rRNA from 1 species